rnacentral:rRNA from 1 species
GUGGGGAAUCUUGCGCAAUGGGCGAAAGCCUGACGCAGCCAUGCCGCGUGAAUGAUGAAGGUCUUAGGAUUGUAAAAUUCUUUCACCGGGGACGAUAAUGACGGUACCCGGAGAAGAAGCUCCGGCUAACUUCGUGCCAGCAGCCGCGGUAAUACGAAGGGGGCUAGCGUUGCUCGGAAUUACUGGGCGUAAAGGGCGCGUAGGCGGACAGCUUAGUCAGAGGUGAAAGCCCAGGGCUCAACCUUGGAAUUGCCUUUGAUACUGGCUGUCUUGAGUUUGGGAGAGGUGAGUGGAACGCCGAGUGUAGAGGUGAAAUUCGUAGAUAUUCGGAAGAACACCAGUGGCGAAGGCGACUCACUGGCCCAAUACUGACGCUGAGGCGCGAAAGCGUGGGGAGCAAACAGGAUUAGAUACCCCAGUAGUCC